AACAAUGAGAAAUCGUUACAAACACAUGCUAAAGUGCAUACAGUUAUUGCCCAGAUUGUGUCUGUGUACGUGUGUGUUUGUGUGUGUGUGUGUGUGUGUAGUGCAUAGGACAUGAUGUCACACUAUUGGCCUGAUCCAAGUUCCUGUACUGUAGUUUACAAAGAUUUCUAAACAUGCUUAGAGCCAGAUUAGGAAGGGGAAAUUCUGCAAUCAACACAAAUGUUAUAUUCAGAUGGUAGUAUGUACGUAUUAACCCCCCAAAACUUACAUUUUCAACUUUUAACAUCUGUGGUAAUUAUAAAGAUGGACAGUAGCACUUUGCAGUGCACCGAGGCAGAGAAAAGUCAUGUGGGAUCAAAAUCAAAAGAGAACUUUAAAGCUUGAAUCAGUGUGACUCCCACUACAUCUUGCUACAUAGAAAUAAUAUAUAUUUCUUUAUUAGUAGUGUUUAAACUAACAAUCUGCUUCUGGACAGGAUUUUUUUAAAAUGAGGAAACCCUAAAAAUAGGGCAUUUGGUUGCACUGAGACACAUUUAGCAAUGCAAAAUCAAGUCACUUUGAAGAAAAAUGUGCCAAAUGCAUCCAUGCAAAUGGAAUUGGGUUAUAGGUGUGUUGCUCAGACCAAAUUAGACCUAAAUUGAGAAUUCUCACUAAAACUGCUCAUUUGUCCAUAACUACACUUGAUAUGCGACCAGAUUUUGAACAUUUAAUUUGCCCUUAGUAGUUUAAUGUGCUAUUUGUAUUAUAUACGUCAUAGUCCAUACAUACUGUGCAUUAUAGUUAUACCCAAAAAUCAUUCACACGUCAAGUACAUAAAAUCUUUUAACAUUUUAAACUAUACAUUAUAAAUUCAAAUGGAAAUAUGAACACAUGUAAAUCUGUAACACCUCACCACUGUCAUAGUAAGAGUACUUCCUGCCAAGUACUUACCACACCUCAUUACGAGCAUGAAGCAGACAGGUUUGAUGAGGAAAGUUAAUCAGUGUCAUGAUGCUUACGUCACUUCAAGUCAGAAAGGAAACCUCUGAUCUAAAAUCGGUACGGACUUUCACAGCAAGCAAUUUAGAAUAAGAAGGAAACAUAUGUCCAUAUAUUAGACUUUACAGUGUGAGGAAAUAUUUUAAGAGGACAUAGUGGUGGCUUAGUGGUUAGCACGUUCGCCAGGGUCGGGGUCCGAUUCCCGCGGCUCUGUGUGUGCGGAGUUUGCAUGUUCUCCCCGUGCUGUGGGGGUUUCCUCCGGGUACUCCGGUUUCCUCCGCCAGUAGGAGGGAGGUUGCAUGGUAGGCUGAUUGGCAUGUCUAAAGUGUCCGUAGUGUAUGAAUGGGUGUGUGAAUGUGUGUGUGAUUGUGUGCCCUGCGAAAGAUUGGCACCCUUUCCAGGGUGUACCCCGCCCGAUGCUUCCUGGGAUAGGCUCCAGGUUCCCCCGCGACCCUGAAAAGGAGUAAGCGGUUGAAGAUGGAUGGAUGGAUAUAUUUUAAUAUUAAUUUAUAUUGGAAAUGGUGUUAGUGAUACAAUUAUACUAGCAGUGAUGAAAAUAUCGCGCCUGGACGAUGAGGAACAGACGUAC
ensembl:lncRNA